AGUAUGAUUGGGCUGUUUCUCUAUUUCGUAAAUGGCAAAAAUCACCGUCUUCUUCUAUCAAUUUCUGAAAAUUUGGAACUGUCACGAAAUUGCUUGACCACGAAUAUAACUGAUAUGCCCGACGCUUUAUUAAACGAGGCCUUGCAACAUUUUGUAUUUGAGAUCAGACGUGAAAACGGUCAAAACUACAAAAGUCAAUCCCUGCAUGGAGCAUUUUGUGGAAUUCAAUCGUACCUCCGCUCGAAGGGAAGACUGAUAAACUUGUUUGAGGAUGAAGCUUUAAGAGAUUGUAUAAAGGCACUUGAUGCUAGUAUGAAACGUUUGGCGGCAUCGGGUCAUGGACCUGGAAACAAAGAUCCCUCCAACCAAUCACUGUAGAAGAAGAAAACGAGCUGUGGGAGAAGGGUACAUUGGGGGAGAAUAAUCCGACCCAACUUCUCCACACGAUGGUCUAUCUCACUGGUCUUCACUUCGCCUUACGUGGGGGACAAGAGCACAGACAUCUUCGUCUUCGGGUGAGACCACAGAUCAAAGGGCCAUUUCCUAACUAUCUUCCAAACGACGAUACUUAGUAUAUCAUGAAGAUGUGUCCAAGACAAACUCUGGAGGCUUAAAGCACCGAAAAUGUGUUCCAAAAGUGGUGAAAGCUUUCGAAAACUCAGCUGAUAAACAACGAUGCUAUGUGCGAUUAUGGGAAAAGUACACAUCUCUUUGUCCCAAUAGCAGUAAGAUUGACACCUUCUAUUGAAACCAAAGCCAGAUUGCUGGUACAUGGCAUCGCCAGUAGGACACAACACCUUGAAGACAACCGUGAAGAAACUAUGUGAAGCAGGCGGACUGAGUGGGAAGCGAACCAACCAUUCCUUGAGGGUGUCAAGUGCCACUAAGACUAUGAUGCCCGAAUUGACGAACAACAAAUCUGUGAGCAAACGGGGCAUCGUAGUUCUGCAGUGAGACUGUACAAGAGAACAAAUUCUGCGAUGCAAGCGGAGGUUUCAGACAUCUUGUACGGCAAUUCGAAGAGGAGUAAAAGUGCGACAGAGGCGUCCUCAAAGUUCGUCGAAUCGGUAGCGUUAGAAGAGAAACCCAGCACAGUAACUACACCCACUGUCGCUGUGCCAAGCUCGAGCAAGGACGAGGAAACCCAGAAACA